UAUCCAUGAUGCAGACAGGAAUUCAAAAGAUCCUUGAACCUCUCCCAACAUUAGUAGGUCUCUUCAUCUCUUUGAGAGAAACUCAUGAUUGCCCUUCUCAGAUU